rnacentral:lncRNA from 1 species
UAAUAAAUAUCACAUGGGUUUCCGUUUGUGGAUAUGAUGUGCGGCCACGUCGCCAUCUGAUGAGCGAUGAGAGAGAAACUUUGUGCUGGGUCUCUCUUGACGGCGGGUUGGCUGCUACCAGCACAGAGAAGGCCACCGCCACAGUUCACAAAGCACAGCAGGAAUCAACCACUGAGACUGAGUCAGGUUACGAGAACAGGAAGCCCAACGGGCGAAAAUGAGGAGGGGUGUUAGGGGACGAGGCGGCAGCCAACGGUGGUUUUUUCACCUCGCAUUCACAGGGCGGCGGGCGGCGGGAUUUACAGGGCCGCCGCCGCCCCCCCCGCCACCGGCGAGAGCUCCGCUAGACGGCGCGGAUGCGGAUGGGGUUGGCGGAGUUCACGCUUGACCCGGCCGGGGAGGAGCUGACGUGGAAGGCUGACUGCCGGUCGGAACCCCUCAACAACUUGAGCGACAGAGACGAGGGCGGCGGCGGCGCCGCCUCCGCCAGGCUCAGCUUCGAGAUGCCGACGAGCUCCUCCACGUUGAUCGGAGCCUUAGAGUGAACCGCCGUCGGCCUCACGAUCUCGUGCGUCUCCUCAUCCUCCUCCUCCUCCGCCGCCGCCGCCGCGUAGCCGGUCCAGUAGGGGGCGGAAACGGGGAAGAAGGGGGAGAAGUAGGCGGGGAACACCACCGGGUAGCACUGAGGAUUCUCUGGUUCUGAAACCUUGUUGGAGUCCUCUUCCGCCGGAGCAGCCGCCGGCGGCGGAGCGCCGGCGUCCUCCAUGGCUUCCGG